rnacentral:rRNA from 1 species
AACGAACGCUGGCGGCAUGCCUAACACAUGCAAGUCGAACGAGACCUUCGGGUCUAGUGGCGCACGGGUGCGUAACGCGUGGGAACCUGCCCUUAGGUUCGGAAUAACUCCCCGAAAGGGGUGCUAAAACCGGGAAUGGUCUUGGACCCAACGAUUUAUCGCCUUUGGAUGGGCCCGCGUUGGAUUAGCUAGUGGGUAGGGUAAAGGCCUACCAAGGCGACGAUCCAUAGCUGGUCUGAGAGGAUGAUCAGCCACACUGGGACUGAGACACGGCCCAGACUCCUACGGGAGGCAGCAGUGGGGAAUAUUGGACAAUGGGCGAAAGCCUGAUCCAGCAAUGCCGCGUGAGUGAUGAAGGCCUUAGGGUUGUAAAGCUCUUUUACCCGGGAUGAUAAUGACAGUACCGGGAGAAUAAGCUCCGGCUAACUCCGUG